UCUUUAAAAUUCCAGAGUCUAUCCUAAAUUGAGGUAAAUUAUAUGGCCUUCCAAAUACUGUUUCGAUCCCUAACAUCACUGAAGAGACAUUAGUUGUCGAAAUCCGGAUAUGGUGUAUAAAAUUUUUGCACCUCAUGUUUGUGGUAAACCAUCUUUUCCACAAGUUUAUUGUUUUCUGUUUGGUAUUAAAUUAAUAUUAAGAUCCAUUUUAUACUGGUGAUCAAUUUAUUUGGCAAUCGCCAAUGGCAGUCAGCAGGGUUUAAGAACAUCCGUUGUUCGACCUGUUAGUCAAAUGCGUUUUGUGAAAAUAUACUUUUUCACUAUUUUGGUCUUUUGGAAAAUGUUAUUUGUGCUGUAUUUAGACCCCUCUACCAAGAAAUUUGUUUUACAUGCACACGUAUAAAAAUUGCGGUUUUUAUCCAACGCAAUCAUAGGAUUGGACGUUGUUUUCAAUUUAGACUUGUUUAUAUUAACUACAUGUAUACACAACUUUACAGAUAUACAAUUUAUAUGAAUUUUCACAGUUAACAUGCAUCUCAACGAAAGUACAGUUACAUUUUAUAUGCAGAUGUGCAGUUUAUAUGCAUCUUAACCGGUAUACAGUAAAUAUGCAUCUCACUAAAUGUACGUUACGAUUACUGUUACUAAAGUAGCUGUGUAAGCCGCAUACUAAAUAUUGCUCGAAAUAUUGAUAUGAAAAACGAAGAAAAAAUAUACAAUUGAAAAAAAUACAUUUGAAAUACAAGACACAGAAUAUAUAAUCUUAAUACAAUCUAGCCCAAAAGGAUUCUGAUUGUAUCUGUUAGACUUGGCAUACAUUUUAUCAGAAAUAUCACAUUGUGAGAACUCUGUUAUUAAUGAAAAAGCAUUUUUUUCCCUAGACUGGGAGUUUUAUUUGGGAUUGAGUCACAAGUUAAAGCACUUUGUUUUAGCUUUUCAAAUUCAAGUAAAUUUAACUAUCAAUUAUCGGGUUUCGUGUAAUUCAUAAACGAACCAACUGAUUUUUAAAGUUUGUUCUUAUGUUGUGCUAUUACACCACUGUCCCAGGUUAGGGGAGGGUUGAGCGCUCACAAACAUGUUUAACCCCGCCACAUUCCCAAGACAGGAACCUGUAGUUCAGUGGUUGUCGUUGGUUCAUGUCUGUCAUAUUUGUUUUUCGUAAAGUGUUUUGUUUAAAUUAGGCCGUUCGUUUUCUCAAUGGAAUUGUUUCAUGUUUUCAUGUCGGGUCCUUUUAUAGCCGACUAUACAGUAUGGAUUUUUUCUCAUUUUUGAAGGCCGCACGAAUGCCUAUAAUUGUUUACAUCCACUUUAUUUGAACUUUGGUGGAUAGUUGUCUCAUUGGCAAUAAUACCACAUCUCCUUCUUUUUAUAUAGUACAAAUGCCUACAAAUACCACUAUUAGAGGUAUACACUAUAAUGUUCAUGAGCACUGGUCUUAAUCUCAUCAACAGGCGUAUUGUACAUUGUAUGUGAUCUGUUUGUCUUUUGAGGCAUAACACAUUGUAUACAAAUAAGGAGAUGUGGUAUGACUGCCAAUGAGACAACUAUCCAGCAGAGACCGAAGGACAGGAAUGUAAACAACUCUAGGUCCCAAGUAAGGAGAUGUGGUAUGCUUGUCAAUGAGACAACUAUCCAGCAGAGACCGAAGUACGGGAAUGUAAACAACUCUAGGUCUCAAGUAAGGAGAUGUGGUAUGCUUGUCAAUGAGACCAAUACACAACAGAGACCGAAGGACGGGAAUGUAAACAACUCUAGGUCUCAAGUAAAGAGAUGUGGUAUGCUUGUCAAUGAGACCAAUACCCAACAGAGACCGAAGGACGGGAAAGUAAACAACUCUAGGUUUCAAGUAAGGAGGUGUGGUAUGCUUGUCAAUGAAACCAAUAUCCAACAGAGACCGAAGGACGGGAAUGUAAACAACUCUAGGUCUCAAGUAAAGAGAUGUGGUAUGCUUGUCAAUGAGACCAAUAUCCAACAGAGACCGAAAGACGGGAAUGUAAACAACUCUAGGUCUCAAGUAAAGAGAUGUGGUAUGCUUGUCAAUGAGACAAAUGUCCAACAGAUACCGAAGGACGUGCAUUUAAUCAAAGGCCUAAUUUGUGAUUUAUAAAUGUAGUCAAUAUAACUUGUGUUUAUUAAAUCUAAUCAUAUAAAACAAUAAAUAUUACAAUGUACUACAAUGUACCGGUAUUACAGAUGUUUGCCAAAAUACAUUACAUUUGGCACCGUCAUUAAAAUGUUUAAAUUUGGACUUACCAUUAGCGGUGGAUCCAAUGUUCAAAAUGAAGGCGAGUAGUUGCCUACCGAAAACGAAAAAAUGACUGCAGUAAAAAAUAAGAAGAAUGGAAAAAUGUAUCAAAACAAAAUUUCGGCCUUAGGGGGUCCGGGUCCCUUCGUCUAGAUCCACUAUACGUCCAAACUAUAGUUGGGGUUGUUUUUAUAUUUUGUAAAUGAUCCGUCAUAUAUAUAUAUAUAUAUAUUACCCAUUUGCAUCUGUUGCACCAAUAGUCAGGAAAACAGAUGUGCAUCCAUGAAAUUUUAGAACAAUUCGUACAAAUACAGUUUGAAAUAUUAUGCAUGCAGUUGAAAUAAAUUUAUAAAUUAUCACAUCAAUUCACUAUUAUAGAAUGUUGUGAUAAUGGUUUUACAAUAAAAGUGUUAAAAUCAUUAUAAUCAUAACCAUUCCAAUGUAUUACAGUAAUGUCAUAUUAAAUCACAUAACUAUAUUUGUAAAAACUUUCAUGACAAAGAAUGCACCAAGACUUCUAUAUAUCAAUAAUAUCAAUAGUACGUCAAGAACUAGCAAAGUUAGAUAAGAAAGAAAAACUGUACAUGUAUAGAUUAUCGGUUUUCUACACAUUGAUAUCGUAAAAUAUCAGCCGCGAUGUACACCGUUUUUGGCAAGUGAGCGUAGCGAACGAGCACAAAAACUUCACAUUGUUUCGAGCGACUGAUAUUUUCAAUCUAUAUUAGCGAAGGGAAGGACGAAAAAUAAACUUAUGUCUCAUUUGCAUUCAUUAUCUAUUUUUUUUGUUUUCAUAGCCUCUGUAAGGUAAUUUUUUUUGUUAAGGCAUAAUGAUGUCUCCCUAUUUCUUCAUUUGUAAAAUCAUCAUUGAAAGAAGUUUAUCACACGAUAAUAGCUCGUCAAAUGGAUUACUUGCAUUUUGGUCGAUACAAAAUUUGCUUAAACAAUCAAACACAUUCAUUAGUCGGCCAAUAGAAUAGGGAGCAUUACAUUUGCGCGUAUUUGGGGAUUAUAUUUUUUUAAGUUUGCGCGCAGUUUUUUCGUGUUUGUGUAUAAUGAAACGGAUUUAGCCUGCUCGAAACCCAAAUUCCAUCUCCUCGUUGGUGAGCCGAUGUCUUCGACUAACUGAAGGGUUACUUGUAAUUAGUUAAUUAAAUUAAUAAAUAAGUAUAAUUUUUACACGCGUUUGCCUAAAUUUACAUGAAUUUACAUGUAAGAUGAAUGCGCACAUAUGUAGUCAAAAGCUACGCGCAAAAGUAAUAAUUUUUACGCGCAAAUGUAAUAGUAAUGUGCGCAAAUGUAAUGCACCGAUAGAAUAAGCCUUUGGAAUAAGGUACAUCGAUUUAUGUUGAAAAUGUUUGAAAUCAGAACCAAAUUUGGCAGUGGUCAUUAUAUCGAAUUUUAAGCUACCCACGUGACCUGAUGUAGAAUUUAAUUUGUGAACAACCCAAAAUAUGCAAUCGCCACUACUACUUUUACGUCAUAUAUCAAUUAUACUAUUUUUAAAAUUCUCUUCUGCAUACAAUACACAAUUUAAAGAAAACACAUUUUUUAUCAGUUCCAGUACAUUUAGGGAUUAUAAUAGCUAGUAAUACAAAAAAGAACACCCCAAAAAAUAUUACAAAUAUAACACCACACUAGUAUUAAAACUAAUUCAACCAUUGUUUGAAAAAAUCUACUUUAAAAUUAUUUACCACAUUUUUU